AACGAGCGCUGGCGGCAUGCCUAACACAUGCAAGUCGAACGAAGGCUUCGGCCUUAGUGGCGCACGGGUGCGUAACGCGUGGGAAUCUGCCCUUUGCUUCGGAAUAACAGUUAGAAAUGACUGCUAAUACCGGAUGAUGUCGCAAGACCAAAGAUUUAUCGGCAAAGGAUGAGCCCGCGUAGGAUUAGCUAGUUGGUGGGGUAAAGGCCUACCAAGGCGACGAUCCUUAGCUGGUCUGAGAGGAUGAUCAGCCACACUGGGACUGAGACACGGCCCAGACUCCUACGGGAGGCAGCAGUGGGGAAUAUUGGACAAUGGGCGAAAGUCUGAUCCAGCAAUGCCGCGUGAGUGAUGAAGGCCUUAGGGUUGUAAAGCUCUUUUACCCGGGAUGAUAAUGACAGUACCGGGAGAAUAAGCUCCGGCUAACUCCGUG
rnacentral:rRNA from 1 species